GUAUCUAGUCACUUGUGAUGGAACAUGGUGGAGGAUAAUGUGAGAAAAAGAAGCUGUAUAGAUAUAGAUAUGCAUGACGGGGUCCCUUUGCCGUACAGCAGACAUUAACAGAAUAUGGCAGAUAAACGCUAAUAAAAAUAUAAACCUUUAUAAAAGAUGAAACAUCACGGAAAAAACAAAGCAAGGCGUGUGGGUGUGGACUGCUUUGGAGAUGGGCCACAGCAGCAUCCACCCUCCUCAGACCCUCGUCGGCAUCAGCACAAGGAACACGCGGUGAGAACCGGGUGAAAUCCGGGAUGCUAUGACCAUCACGCCGUGGGACCGGCUCACGUGGAGAGGGCCGUGCUCCAGGCAGGGCCCAAGACCCUUGGGAGGGAGCCCAUGAUUCAUCCUGCACGCCGGGGCCGUGGACGCUGAGCCAGGCAGGCACGCGUGCACACCCACAGACACACACGCUACACACCCUUGAUCUAGGCACACACUCGCACGUGCGUGCCACACACACCUGCAGGCAGUGCGUGCACAUACCACGUGCCCACCAAACACACAACACACCUAGAGGCACACAUACACACACGCACACAAUGCACGCACACACCACAAACAGAUACAUACACGUGCAGACCCGCAGCACACGCAGAGGUGUAGACCACACCACCGGUGCCCAGACCCUCAUGGACAUGAGUUAAUGUGGCCUUUGCUCUCCAGCCUCCGUGACUGUGUUCCUGGUCGUUUAACCAGGAGCCCCACCGCACCUCUGGGCCACAUCCUGGGGGAGCCCUUCUUGACUCUCAGCCCGAUUAAGUCAGCUCUUCAAGAAACCAGAAAAUUCAAUCUGGGGCCACUUCUCUGCUCCGGAUAUUGCGCAUAAUUUGAGGAUUACUCUGGACGCCAAAGGAGUUACUGCGUCGAACCCCCCAGGCUGUUUAUUGGGUGCGGAAGAAAGAACGAGGCCUUCAGGUGAACAAGGCAGAAUUGGAGAAUCGAGAACAAAAUCUCUUAACUCAGAGCUUCAGAGCCUCCCCACAAGGCAGAGAUCCUUAUGCCCAUUUUACAGACAAGGGACGUGAGGCUCAGAGAAAUUAAGCUUGUGAGUCGGAGGUGGAGACAGAACUUGAACCCAAGUGUCACGACCAUCAAAGACAGGCUCUCAGUCCGUCACCACACACGGCCCUGCGGUCAAGGGCUGGCUCCCCACAGCCCCAGGCCAUUCUGGGGGUCCCCCCUGGGGACUAGUAAGAGAUGCUGCCCUGGACAUGAAGCUGGGCCUGCUCCUGGCAGAGGUGAGCAGUGUCAGAGGAUUGAGGAUAUCAGCUUUCUUUACAGAAAUGGAAAUUGGUAUUAAAUA